UGUGAAUUUUGAGCCCGGAGUGUUCCUAACUCUGUUUUUUUACCAAUGAUAUCUGCUUUUUCGGUUUUUUAAAAAAAAAAAAAAAAAAAAAAAAGAAGAGUUUCAUGUCAUCUGCAACACAACAGCCUGUCGCUGUUCAUAAGUUUCAAACAUAAAUACUUCGCAACCAGCCGUUCACCGUAGCCUGGUAAGAUGUGUAAUAAGGGCUCAGAACCAUGUAUCUUGUUGUAAUUUAAAGGGCUUUAUCUUCAAAACCCAAAAGAAGUCUUCGAAUCAAAAACACUGUUGCUCUCUCUCCCGAAACCCUAAGGCAACCAUGCUUCUCCAACCAUCUCUACACCUCCAAAACGCGUCAAUUUCGUCAACUAUCUCCUACUCGCGACCCAUCCCAUGGAAAAAUCCCCAUUGUGACCUUCGCCAAACUCUAAAUUACCUCAAAUUCCCAAUCACAUGCUCAAUAUCGCAAGUCCACAGCUACGGAACUUUGGAUUAUGAGAGAAGACCCAUGAUCAAAUGGAACUCUAUCUACAGGAGAAUCUCUUUGAUGGAAAAACCUGAAUUGGGCGCUGGGACCCUUUUGAAUCAGAUGGAAAAAGACGGCAAGAAGCUCACUAAAUGGGAACUUUGUAGGGUUGUCAAGGAAUUGAGGAAGUUCAAGCGGCACAAACAAGCACUGGAGGUUUAUGAUUGGAUGAACAAUAGAGAAGAGAGGUUUAGGUUAUCUGCCAGUGAUGCUGCAAUUCAAUUAGACCUUAUUGCCAAAGUGCGUGGAGUUUCUGCUGCUGAAGAUUUCUUUUUGAGAGUUCCAGAAACUGUAAAGGACAGGAGGAUAUAUGGGGCUUUGCUGAAUGCCUAUGUGAGAGCUAGAAUGAGGGAAAAGGCAGAAUCCAUGAUUGACAACAUAAGAAAUAAAAGUUUUGCCACACAUGCACUUCCAUUCAAUGUGAUGAUGACUCUAUACAUGAACCUCAAGGAAUAUGAUAAAGUUGACAUGAUGAUUUCAGAAAUGAUGGAGAAAAACAUUAGACUUGAUAUAUAUUCCUAUAAUAUCUGGUUAUCAUCACGUGGAUCCCAAGGAUCUGUUGAAAGGAUGGAACAGGUAUUUGAGCAAAUGAAACUGGAUAAAACCAUUAAUCCCAACUGGACAACAUUUAGCACAAUGGCCACAAUGUACAUAAAGAUGGGGCAGUUAGAAAAAGCUGAAGAUUGCCUAAGGAGGGUUGAGAGCAGAAUCACAGGUCGGGAUCGGAUACCUUAUCACUAUCUCUUAAGCCUGUAUGGUAAUGUUGGCAAUAAAGAAGAGCUUUAUCGUGUGUGGAACAUUUACAAAUCAAAUUUUCCCAAUAUUCCGAAUUUGGGAUAUCAUGCUAUUAUCUCAUCUUUGGUUAGAAUGGGUGACAUUGAAGGUGCAGAAAAGAUUUACGAGGAAUGGCUACCAACUAGGACAUCCUAUGACCCUAGAAUAGGAAAUCUCCUCAUGGGUUGGUAUGUUAAAGAGGGAAAUUUGGACAAGGCUGAAAGUAUCUUUGACCAUAUGGCAGAAGCGGGAGGAAAGCCAAAUUCUAGUACAUGGGAGAUUCUUGCAGAUGGGCAUGUAAGAGAGAAGAGAAUUUCUGAGGUUUUGUCUUGCUUUAAGGAAGCUUUUCUUGCUGAAGGAUCAAAGAGAUGGAAGCCGAAGCCUGUAAUUGUAUCUUCCUUCUUUAAGCUGUGUGAGGAAGAAGCUGACAUGUCAAGCAAAGGAGUGUUGGAGGGUUGGUUGAGGCAGUCAGGAUAUCUUGAAGAUGAAAAUUAUGCAUCACUUGUUGGACUGUCUAGUGAACUGUCGAAUGAGAAAGAUAGCACAGGCAAUAUAAAUGACAAUGAGGAGAAUGAAAUACUUCUCAACCAGUUUCAGGGCAGUCUCUGAUAUAUUUAUCACUUGCUUUUGUGUAUGGGAGAUUGUUGUUUGGACCUCAUUUGCUGGGCAGAGUGUAUCUGAGCUCAAAUUUUCAAGAACUUGGAGAGUGCAUGCGAGGGAUAUUGAUGGUGAUCCAGGUUGUGGGCGACUGAAAGGUGAAAUCGAUGGUUGGGAUGGGUAAAUGUUGGCUCAGAGGGAGGUUGUUGAACGAAACUGGUGAUAAACAUCUUGAGGGUCCUAAUCCUAGCUAGAUAUGCCGAUGGCCGACUCUAAGGCUAAAGAAGAUUGAGAAACCAUUAAAACUUUGUCCAUCACAGCCUUCUAUUGGCCUCCUUGUUUUACUCGCUAGUUGUCGAGAGGUCUUGACAAUGACUGCAUGUGCAUCAACGGUCCACACUACAGCCAUGAAGGGUGGAAGAUAGUGGCGUGCAGAUACAGGAGGCGGCACUCCUUCCUGCACCCCUUUUGGGGUUUCUGUUGGUGGGGGCUCAUCUUUUGGGGCUAUGAGGCUUGGGCUUUUCCGUUGGGUUGGAGAGUUGUAGUUUGGGCUGGGUUUGCUCUUGUUGCUAGACUUCUUGUUGUUCUCUUCUGUUUAGGAGGCCUAAGCCUUUACUUUAGGUUGUGGCUUAAGAGGCCCAUAUUAUAAUAGUUUUACACCUUAAUGAA